rnacentral:rRNA from 1 species
UGGCGAACGGGUGAGUAACACGUGAGCAACCUGCCUUUCAGUGGGGGACAACAUUCCGAAAGGAGUGCUAAUACCGGAUGUGAUCAUCGUGCCGCAUGGCAGGAUGAAGAAAGAUGGCCUCUACAAGUAAGCUAUCGCUAAAGGAUGGGCCUGCGUCUGAUUAGCUAGUUGGUAGUGUAACGGACUACCAAGGCGAUGAUCAGUAGCCGGUCUGAGAGGAUGAACGGCCACAUUGGGACUGAGACACGGCCCAAACUCC